GACGAACGCUGGCGGCGUGCCUAAUACAUGCAAGUAGAACGCUGAAGGAGGAGCUUGCUUCUCUGGAUGAGUUGCGAACGGGUGAGUAACGCGUAGGUAACCUGCCUGGUAGCGGGGGAUAACUAUAGGAAACGAUAGCUAAUACCGCAUAAUAGCAGUUGUUGCAUGACAACUGUUUGAAAGGUGCAAUUGCACCACUACCAGAUGGACCUGCGUUGUAUUAGCUAGUUGGUGGGGUAACGGCUCACCAAGGCGACGAUACAUAGCCGACCUGAGAGGGUGAUCGGCCACACUGGGACUGAGACACGGCCCAGACUCCUACGGGAGGCAGCAGUAGGGAAUCUUCGGCAAUGGACGGAAGUCUGACCGAGCAACGCCGCGUGAGUGAAGAAGGUUUUCGGAUCGUAAAGCUCUGUUGUAAGAGAAGAACGAGUGUGAGAGUGGAAAGUUCACACUGUGACGGUAUCUUACCAGAAAGGGACGGCUAACUACGUG
rnacentral:rRNA from 1 species